rnacentral:rRNA from 1 species
GACGAACGCUGGCGGCGUGCUUAACACAUGCAAGUCGAACGGAAAGGCCCUGCUUUUGUGGGGUGCUCGAGUGGCGAACGGGUGAGUAACACGUGAGUAACCUGCCCUUGACUUUGGGAUAACUUCAGGAAACUGGGGCUAAUACCGGAUAGGAGCUCCUGCUGCAUGGUGGGGGUUGGAAAGUUUCGGCGGUUGGGGAUGGACUCGCGGCUUAUCAGCUUGUUGGUGGGGUAGUGGCUUACCAAGGCUUUGACGGGUAGCCGGCCUGAGAGGGUGACCGGCCACAUUGGGACUGAGAUACGGCCCAGACUCCUCCGGGAGGCAGCGGUGGGGAAUAUUGCACAAUGGGCGGAAGCCUGAUGCAGCAACGCCGCGUGCGGGAUGACGGCCUUCGGGUUGUAAACCGCUUUCGCCUGUGACGAAGCGUGAGUGACGGUAAUGGGUAAAGAAGCACCGGCUAACUACGUG